ACAGGGAGUCUUAUGUUCCAGGAAGGGGGAAGAGACCAAUCGCAAAUCUGGCCAGCUGGACAGGGAAGGAAAACAGCCAUAGGACACAGAACACAUCACACUAGGAAGAGAAAUCUUGAAGUGAAAACUUACUUCUUUUAGAGUCUCCUUUUCUCUGUCAUGAGAGGUGGAGUGAACAUAGCAUGGAGAUCCUAAUGCAGCUUUACUGAGUUGCGCAAUGGGAAAGAAACAAUGAAGAUGUAUUUUCCUAUAGUAGGUCUUUCUUCAUGGCAAGGGAUGUAAGACGAAUGCCUGCCUACCUCAGCUCCAGGUGCUGAAAGAAAAAUCUGCCUACAGCCUGCACCACAGGGCUGUGUGUUCCACGUGUCUGCAUUUCUGCCCUUGUUGGACCACUGCUGGGUCAAUAAUUAUUCCAUAG